GCCUGUGACCAAGUCACGUGGAAUGUGCCUGAUCCCAUCAGAUCGCCGAAGCUAAGCAGGGUUGAGCCUGAGUCGGACUUAAAUGGGGGACCACGAUGCACAAAAGGGUUGUCAUAGGGC
rnacentral:rRNA from 1 species